rnacentral:lncRNA from 1 species
GACCGAGACACUUUUAGCAUACUUCCAAGACCAAAUUCAUAAUCCUAGGAAGCAAGUAUAUGAAGAUAAUUUCAUACAAAGAUAUUAUCAAAGCAACAAAAGAGUUCUCUUCUGAAAACUUGGUUGGCUCAGGAUCCUUUGAAGAUGUUUAUAAGGGAACCUUGGAGUUUGAGGUUGAUCUAGGAGCUAUUAAGGUUUUCAAUCUCAACAAGCACGGAGGACCUACAAGCUUUACUGCAGAAUGUGAAGCCUUGAAUAACAUCCGACAUCGUAAUCUUGUUAAAGUCAUCAUAUUAUGUUCCACCUUGGAUCCAAAAGGACAAGACUUUAAAGCAAUCAUCUUUCAAUAUAUGCCUAAUGGAAGCCUAGAAACAUAGCUGCAUCAAAAAGUUUAUGGUCAUAAUCAGAAACAAGUCUCAAGUUUGGGUGAUAGGAUUAGUAUAGCCCUGGAUAUAGCGUAUGCCUUAGAUUAUCUUCACAACCAGCGUGCAUCUCCACUAAUACACUGUGACCUUAAGCCAAGCAAUGUGCUCUUGGAUCUACAAAUGACUGCAUGUCAGUGACUUGAGCUUGGCAAGAUUCAUGUGCACUACAACUGCAGAGUUCGUUAGUUCAAUGAGUUUGGCUGAUUUAAAAGGAUCCAUCGGAUAUAUUGCACUUGGUGAGAAUUCACUACCUAUUUUUAUUCUCAUUUAUAUAAGGUUCACCCACUUGAUUUACUUAUCCAAUAUUACAUUCAAGUGAUGUUCCCUUAUAUUGAAUGAACACUUAUGUUUUCAAAUACAUAUGCAGAGUAUGGAAUGGGUGGACCUAUCUCAACCAAGGGAGAUACCUACAGCUAUGGAGUGGUCUUACUAGAGAUGUUAACCGGGAUGCGUCCAAGAGAUGAAAAAUAAUAAUAAAAAAAGCUGGACAAUUGGGAAGGACCCAAUGUCAAAUGUUAUUAAGAGGUGGUGAGGCUUCGGACCUGCGCUGGCUAGCCCACCAUCUGUGGUGCUAGCCAGAAGAACCGCAAGCGUUUCUCUGAAAAAUUGAAGGAUGGUUUAAGCCUUCAUGGACUCGUGGAGUUAGCAUUUCCACACAAAGUAGCUGAGAAUUUGGAUCCACUUAUGCUACAAAGUGACCUAAAUGGCGGAAAAUAUCCGACUGAAAUAAUGCAGAGUUGUGUCAUAUCAUUGGUUAAGCUGGGCCUGCUAUGUUCAUCCAUAUCACCAAAAGACCGGUUAGGAAUGUUACAUGUUUAUGCUGAAAUCGUCACAAUAAGACAGUCGUUUAUUGAGUUACAAUGAGAAAAUGGAGCUGACUGCCAUUGUAAAUAGUACCAACAAUAGCUGAAAAUCUUUUUGUUGAGAUGAUCAUAACAGGACAUGCAAACUUGAGCUUUACGGGGAAGAAAUGCAAAAGUGAAAAUAGAUAGAAGUGAAUGCACGAAAAAUUCUGCCUCCAACUUCUGUUCCCAACUUAAUGUUGGUAUAUUAUGCAGCUGCACUUUGGAAGUUUGUAGAACUACUUCUAAUAUGAUUUGAGAAUUGUAGUGAGUUCCAUUUGGUAAAAAAAACUUACUCCCUUUGUUGUAAGAUUUACUAGGCUUGUCUAAAUUUAUAUGAAUGAUAACGAAAGUAGAAUCAUCUUCGUGGGCAUUUUCACAAACACACCGCCCGCACGCAUGUCAAACACCGACCGUCGCCACCGCCACGCGCCUACGCUGCUGCCGAUGCCGUUGCAAACACAAGCAUAGAGAGGAGCAACGCGCGAAACGAACCUGGCCGGAGUCUGCCGGCCGUCGGCGCGGCGCAGGCGAUCUCCGGCGCACCGGCCCCGUCGCCGCCNNN